rnacentral:snRNA from 1 species
UGAUCUUCUCGGCCUUUUGGCUAAGAUCAAGUGUAGUAUCUGUGGGGCUUUUUCCUUCUCAUGGAUAGAUUACCAGCUAGCAGUUGUUGGAUUUAAAUAAUUAAAUAUUUUCAGUCAAA